rnacentral:rRNA from 1 species
ACUCCUACGGGAGGCAGCAGUGGGGAAUAUUGCACAAUGGGCGAAAGCCUGAUGCAGCAACGCCGCGUGAGUGAUGAAGGCCUUCGGGUCGUAAAGCUCUUUGAUCAGGGAUGAUAAUGACAGUACCUGAAAAACAAGCCACGGCUAACUACGUGCCAGCAGCCGCGGUAAUACGUAGGUGGCGAGCGUUGUCCGGAAUUACUGGGCGUAAAGGAUGCGUAGGUGGAUACUUAAGUGGGAUGUGAAAUCCCCGGGCUCAACCCGGGAACUGCAUUCCAAACUGGGUAUCUAGAGUGCAGGAGAGGAAAGCGGAAUUCCUAGUGUAGCGGUGAAAUGCGUAGAUAUUAGGAGGAACACCAGUGGCGAAGGCGGCUUUCUGGACUGUAACUGACACUGAGGCAUGAAAGCGUGGGUAGCAAACAGGAUUAGAUACCCUGGUAGUC